rnacentral:rRNA from 1 species
AUGGCCUCCUCAGCUUCCACCUCCCUCUCCCCAGCAGCCCUCCCAGCCACCACUCCACCUCCACUACCCCCCGCUCCCUGCCCCCCUCCCGAUCCAGAUCCAGAUCCCUUGCUUGCUGCCGCCGUUGGAGGGCUGGAGGCUCCCGUCCCUUGCUCUGAGCUCCUGCUGCCACCUCCUCCACCUCGCCUUCCCGCGAACUCUAUGCCGAAGCUGGUCGCCGAGGUACUUGUGGCGUCUUCCGAGCAGCCUUGGGUGGAGGUUGGGGGACAGCGUCGUUCGUGGAUGGAGAAGGCGCCCGCUCCAUCUCCCAGGAAAGGGGUCGGUCUCUCCCUCGCCUUCAAGAGGAGAACGUACGGCCGCUGCUUCCGUUGCCUCGCGUCGGAGCACUUCGUGGCUGACUGCCGCGACCCUAUAAGGUGCCUGGGUUGUGGCAUCUCUGGCCACCGCGAGCGGGAGUGCCCGACACGCCUUCCGGCCAGACAAGCUUCAACCCGCCACUCCCCCUCGCCUGCGGCCUCUCCACGUCGGUCACCGGAUGCGCCACCCUGCCACGCGCCUCCGCCAGAUCCGCGACUUUGCUCGUGGGCCUCCGUUGCUGCCUCUCCGUCUAUGCUCGUUCAGGAGGCGCCUUGUAGCAACUCCGGCUCCCCCUGCUCAGGUCUUGCCGACCUCGUCAAGUCUUCCAUUGCUGCUGAAUUGGGGCUGCUCCAACCCCACUUUGCAGCUCAGAUCGAGGCGCUGCGCACCGAGGUGCAAGCCCUGGCUGCUGCUCGUACUGAGGAGGUCAUUCAGCCUCUCCGCGACAUGGCGUUCGCUCUACAGGGUUGGGCGGUUCAGGUUUCGAGCCUCUUAGAGCGGCUGGAGGCUAUCAGUGGAAGUGUUGUUUCUUGGCCGGCCAUCAAUGGGUCUCCUGAGGUGCGAGAGGGUGGGACUACGAGGAUCAGUGGGGGACCUUUCUCUUCCUCGGCGCCGAUGGAUCCGCCUCCCCCCUGGUGUGAGCAUGAGGAACAGGCGCCUCUCGUUGUUGCUUGUGCUAAGGGUGUCAGUGAGAUUAGUGUGGCUGGUUGCUCGUCCGAGGUGCUGGCUACUAUGGCGCUCCCUGCAGAAGUUUUUCCUACUUUGGAUGUAGAUUUGCACAAGAUGGUGAUUCAACACGAGGAGGAGCAAGGAACGGUUGAGGAGAUAGUCAAAGUGAGCAAGGACAUGGAGCAAAUUGAGGUGGUUUUGCCUGCUGGCUUGGCUGCAGAGGUGCCUCCCUUGGUCUCCUCUCCAGUGAUGCUUUCUUCAGGGGGCACUACCAAUAUGAUGUCUUCGGGGUCCGAGGAGCUACUUGGUGACAUUGGCAUGCCUCAAGGUCUGGCUUCAACCACCUUGCUGGAUGAGUUCCUAAGUAGCUUCAGUUGCACAGCGCCGCGGUCCUUGCUCGAAACACCGAUUCAUGUGCAGAUUGAAGGGGCAUCUACUUGUUCCGAGAGGCGUAGUGGACGUUUGGAUAAGAAGAACAAAAGUUGCAACAUCCCGACUGCCAAGCAUGCUGAAUAUAGGUUGGCGGAGGCUUUUGGGGAGAUACCAAAGGGAACGACAUCUAAGAAAGUCACCGAGGAGGAUGUGCAAGAGAAGAUGAAGUCUUAUUUGCGUAUGUACAAGAAACCGCUCACGUCGACGGUGAUCCAGGCAAUUCGUGCCUUGGUGGAGGUUAAUGUGUAA